rnacentral:tRNA from 1 species
AGCGGGAUGGUGUAACGGCAACACGCCGGUCUCAUGCGCCGGUGCUGCGGGUUCGAAUCCCGCUCCCGCAA